rnacentral:lncRNA from 1 species
GUCGAUAUUUUCUGCAAAUGCCACUCAUUUCAAUGCUAUAAAUAACAGGAUAGAUUGUUUGUAGUAUAUCACAUAUAUAUCCCUUCAUCACUAACAAACUAGUACUAUUAUUUUUAAAGGCAUCUUAGAAAUGGCUCAAAUAUAUCAUUUUCGUCCCUACAACAGGCCGAUAGAAUUAGCAAUGCCGGUAACUAGCCUCUGUUUGAAUAGAGAGUUAGAAAAUGAUGACGACGACGAUGAUGAUGGAAAAAAAGUGGCACCUGCAGCGUAACGUUAGUUCAUGUGUUUCCGUUAUAAAUAGGAAUCCUUGUUUAAGUCUUUCUAAGUACUUGAUCUUCUAUAUAUGAUAAUUUAAGUGUCUUUCUUUUCUCUUCGAAUUGUAUUAAAUAGAGUGUCUCUUUUCUAAGUCUUUCUAAGUAUUCCUUAUAUAUCUAAUUUAAGUGUCUUACUUUUCUCUUUGAUAUGUAUCAAAUAUAUAUAGUGUUUCUUUCUAUAUUUAACUCUUAAUUUCUAAGUACUUGAUCUUUUGUAUCUGAUAAUUUAAGUAUCUUACUUUUCUUUUUGAUAUGUAUUUAAAUAGAGUGUUUCUUUCUAUAUUAAGUAUUUCUAAGUACUCUUGUUGUAUCCAAUUUAAGUGUCUUACUUUUUUCUUUAAUUUGAUUGUAUCAAAUAUAUAUAUAUAUAUAUAUAUAUAUAGUGUCUCUUUCUAUAUUUAAGUCUUUCUGAGUACUCCUUAUGUCUCUAAUUUAAGUGUCUUAUUUUUCUCUUUGAUACGUAUUAAAUAGAACUAGUUCUCGAACACGUGUGUUGCACGUGCAUCUACGCACGUGUAUGUCAUACUAAUCAGUAUUAAUGUUUAGAAAUGAUAUAAAUAAUACUGAAGUAUGUAUGUGAUGAAUAUCAUAGGAGAAAAAUACAAGUACAAAUUGAUAAAUGAUUUGCCACAAUUUGUUCACCAACUCUUUUUUGUGUGAUACCUCAAAUUUCGUUGAACUUCGAACUUAUUCAACUGUUGCAAAUCACACUUGAGAUUUUUUAAGAAUAAGAAGAGUAGAAAAGUUAAAAAAAAUUGUAGUUUAAAAAUGAGAGAAAACUCAUAUAUUUAUAGCUAACAAAUGGUAGUAUAAAUAGCUAGGUGCUAAUUGUGUCUUAUUAAUUAGAAAAGUCACAACCCGUCGAAAAAGUUACAGCUCAUCAGAAAAGUCACAACCUUUGAAAAAGUCACAAUCCUUCGAAAAGUUACAACCCUUAGGGAAAGUCACAAUCCUUUAAAAAAGUCGCAACCUUUCGAAAAAGUACAAUCCUUCAAUGUAAAAAAGGUUUCUAUUUUAAUAUAAUAUAAUUAAUAAAUAUAAAAUAUACUAAAUUGAGUGUUUUUACUUGGGGAUAUUAUAGUAAUUUAAUAUUCAAGUUUGGAAGUUCAUACUUUAUAUAUAUAUAUAUAUAUAUAUAUAUAAAUAGAUAAUUGAAUCGUUUAAAGGAUUACGCGCAUCCUUAAUUUAAAAUCACAAGAUUUCAAAAUCUUUUUUUAUUUCGUAAAUUUAUGUUUAAUUAAAUUAAGAUAUUUAAAUUAAGACGAAAAAUAUACUAAUUAAUGUAGUGGCAUGAAUCUACUACCUAAACAUGUAAUUCUCAUGAUUUUUACAAGGUUGUGUGUAAUUUAAUUAGGUUCAGGUGCAUUUGCAAAUUGUGGUACUUUCUCGUCAGAUUUCUAACUGUAGGCGUAGACAAAAAAUUCAUUAAGAGAGUUUAAAAAAAAAAAUCGAUAGUAAUAACAAAUGAACGAGUCAAAUUAGAUAUAACCAGAUUAGACAAACUACGAAUAAUAUAUCCGACCCAACCAUAUUUCAUAUGGAUUAACGAAUAUAGAAUGAGUGACGGAUAAAUAUAUAUAUGUCUUCGUAUUAUUCAAUAUUUAUGACUUUUUGAAUAAUUGUAAUGUUGGAAAAAUUCCUAUAUAGUCAAAUCUUCAACAUUGACCAUUUAUUGCAAUAAAAUACUGCUACCAUAGCCACAAAAUAUCCCUCGCAGGUAGUUGGUUUUCGAUGCUCAAUGUCAUUUCUUCCGCAACAAAAAAACUUUUUACCAGCAAUAAAUAUAUAUAUUAAAAAAGUCCUAGAAUAUUUAUCAGUAUUAAUUAAUUGUCAUUAAAUUUAAUAUCGUUAUAAGUUUUAGGAAUAUCGAACAUUUAUAAAGAAUAUUAUUUACCUUUAAAAACUAUUUAUAGUAGCAAUUAAAUUAUUUUUAUUAAUUAAUUACCGCUAAAUAUUAUAUUUGGUGUGAUGUCCAUAGUAGGUGCAAUUUGUGUGUACCUUGUCUCAAUGAGUAAGGAAUUUAUUUAAAAUUGUAUUUGAGUUAUAAAAAGAAAUAUAAGUUUUCAAAUGAAAAAAUAUAUCCUAUAUAACUAACUCAAUGAAGGAAUAAAUUGUCUCAUAUAUAGCAAUUCUCAAUUAUCAGUCAACAAUUCAAUUAAGAAUUUAUUCCAAACUUUAUAAUAUUAUAACUUCAAUUUAACAAUCUCAGUAUCAUGUUUAAUAAAUGUUCAAUUAAUUUGGUCUGUCUGUUAGGUUGAUAAGAAGAGUACUUGGAGACCAAAAUACCCCAAAUCCUAACUCUUACCUAUAUAAAGGGAUUUUUCUAAGAUCAAAGAAACAAAGAAGAAAUACAUAUCUAUAGAGAAGCUCUGCUCUUUUAUGGUGAUCUGCAAGUCUUUCGCAUACAAAGAGAAGUCUUUGUGCAAGUUUGCAUACCUCCACGAUUAUGACCAAAACUUGGUUCCAUAUUUGUGAUGAAGUUUCAACAAGUAUUCUAUCGAUUCAAGAACAAAGCAAAGCAACGAUCUUCAAGUAGAUUAUCUAGAAAAAGCAGUUGACUCUUAAAUAAAUGGGGAAUUUUCGCAUAUAUAGCCACUUAAAAAUAGUUUAAUUAUUCUUCAUAGCUAUAGUUUGUUAAUUGCAAUUUGAAGCUACAUGUUAGAGGUAGGAUAGAGGCGAGCGAGAUUGGGAGAGGGAGGAGGGGCGAGUGAGAGAUGGCAGAGAGUAGAGAGAGACGAAUUGUAUAUAUAAAUCUAUCAAAUAAUUGUAUAUAUGUAACUGGUAUACAUAUGUGUUUGUAUAUCUAGCAAGCGAGAUUAGGAGAGGGAGGAGAGAAGUGAGCGAGAGAGGGCAAAGAGUGGAGAGAGGCGAACUGUAUAUGUAUAUAUGUCAGAUAAAUUGUAUAUAUGUAAUUGGUAUACAUAUGUAUUUGUAUAUUUGGCGAGCGAGAAUUAGAGAGAGAGAAAUGAGAGAGGAGAGAGGCGAGCGAGAUUGGGAGAGGGAUGAGAGAGGGCAGAGAGUGGAGAGAGGCUAAUUAUAUCUAUAUAUCCGUCAUAUAAUUGUAUAUUUAUAUGUGUAAUUUAUAUUUGAUAAUUUGUAUUUGUAUAUGUAUAAAAGAGGAGAGAGGCGAGAGAGAAGAAGAGAGGAGAGAGGCGACGAAAAUAUAGCUAAAAUAAAGCUGCAAGACGUAAUUAAUUCAAAUUAUAGCUAUGUAAAUUAACUAGUAUAUGUUUGCUUAUCCGCAUAAUUUUUCCUUAAAUAAAUAACCUAGCAACAAAUUAUCUUCUAUGACUUCUAAUUCAUAAAAAAAACAAAUUACAUGACCAGAAACAAUUAUUAAAACAUAAAGACUUGAAACUACUAACACAUAUUUCUAAAGUGUUAUUUUUGCACAUGCUCAACUUCCCAUAGAUAGCUAUCAAUCCUUACAGAUUGAUCUCAUACAAAUGAAAACUUUAAGGCAUAAGCAAAGGAAGUAUUGACUGUAUUGUUUUGUAUAGAAUUGAUCCGGUUAAGAUAUUAUAAUUAAUUUUACUUAUCAAGUUGAACUUGUAUAUUUGUGCAAAAUUAUAUUUAUAUAGUUUUUAUUUAAAUCUUAUUUUUUGUGGAGCAGCUAUUGGCUGCGAUUUGAAACGGUGGACCGAGCUUAAUCUCCCCGCAGCUCUUAAUUUUAUUCAUUAAUUUAAAGAUUACAUCUGACAUCACUAUACGGUGAUAAAUUUAAAAACAACACACAUCUUUCUAAAGUGAGAAACAAAUAGAAAGGAAAUGCUUAGUCCACUAACAAAUAUAACAUAUUAUUAACAGCUUAGUAAAAUUCUUGAAAAGAAAAAAACGGAUUUUUUUUUUUUUUGAAGUUUGCCAAUAUUGGUUACAAAUAAAAUAAUUUAAAAAUUAUUAUAAUUUUCCUUUUUUUUUUUUUUUUUUUUUUUGCAUGUCUUUGUCUUUUGACUAGCUUUGACUAUAUUUUCCUAUGUGGCAAAUUAAAGCGUGUGCAUGAAAGGGAAUAAGUACGUGUAGAUUGUGAAAAUUUUUUUUUUUUUUUUUUUUUUUUUUUUUUUUUGCAUGUCUUUGUCUUUUGACUAGCUUUGACUAUAUUUUCCUAUGUGGCAAAUUAAAGCGUGUGCAUGAAAGGGAAUAAGUACGUGUAGAUUGUGAAAACCAAACAUCUUCCAUGAGCUUACCUCAUGUCAUUCCAUUUCCUCAAUAUUGUUUAUGUGUACACUAAGUCACCAAUCCACCCUCUCACAUUUUCCUCUCAUCUUUUCUAAAUUUUCACUCAUUUUGUGCAAAAAGCAAAUCUCAAAAAGUUAAAAGAUUCAAAUAACCUUUUAUCAAAAAUGAUUUUUAGUGGCAAUGAUUUAAUUAUCACUUUAGAGGUAGUUGCUAGAGACAAUUACAUUUUAGCAUUUUUUGUAAUGACACUAAAGUCUAUAGCUAUAUUGAAUCUAAUGGCAAUGCUGGAGUGCAUAUUUAAUGCUGCUAAAAGCUGAUUUUGUUGUAGAUGCAUGAUAGGCUGACAACUCUCUUUAGAAAGUAACAGCUCAAUAUUUUCUCCAAAUGUCACUCAUUCUGUUGCUAUAAAUACUAGGACAAAGAGGAGGAGCUGGUAUCACCCUCAUAACUAAUUAACAACUAGGUCUUAAUAUUUAAGUUUUUAUUUAUUUCAAAUUAAAAUGGUGAUUGUGAAGGGAAAUGCAUCGUCUUUUCGCCCCGAAAGGAUGGAAGCAAGGCUUGUGAUUAGCUUCUGUUUGAAUAGAAAGUAUGAAGGUGAUGAUGACGACGACGAUGACGGAAAAAAAGUGGCACCUGCAGCAUAAUUUCAUAGUAUGUUGCUUUGAAACCAUGAAGCCAGUCAUGACGGUCAAGUUAAUUAGCACUUGUGUUCUCCUUUAGUCUUUCUAUUAAUUAAAAAAAUAUAUACUAUAGUAGUGAUGACAAUGAGAUAAUAUGUAGUGUUUUCUCAAUUAGCAAGGUUUGGGUCGAUUCAAUAAUAAUUGUGUACUUAUUUUAUGAUGUGAAAUAAAAAUUACAAAUUAAUUUAUGUAAUAUUAAUAGAGUCAAAUUUUAUUAAUCAAU